rfam:Capsaspora owczarzaki ATCC 30864 unplaced genomic scaffold supercont2.38, whole genome shotgun sequence.
GUGGUUGUGGCGGAGCUGGUCUAACGCGUCAGAUUAAGGCUCUGAUCACUUCGGUGGCCUGGGUUCGAAUCCCAGCAACCACA